CGGUUACACUUAUAAUGCGAUAAAAAAAGUUCGGUAAUUAAUUAAUAAGAAUUAUGAAUAAAUUUUUAAUUUUAUUAAGUGAAAUUUUUAAAAUUGAAGUAUAUUUUUGUUAUUUUUAUGAGGUUAAUAAGUUUAGGCUUUAGACUAGGAUUAGAUACCCUAUUAUUCUAAAUCAAAUAAGAGUUACUUGGUUAGUAGUAGUUAUGUCCUUGAAAAUUAAAGAAGUUGGCGGUAUUUUAGUCUAUUCAGAGGAACCUGUCCUAUAAUCGAUGAUCCACGAUUUUUUUUACUUAUUUUAUUAGUUUGCAUAUCGCCGUAGGUUGAAUAUUCUUAAAAGAUUAGGAAUAUUCAAUAAUUUUUAUAAGAAAGGAAUUCAGGUCAAGAUGUAGUUUAUGGAUAAGAAGAGAUGGGUUACAAUGAGAAUACUUAUACAGAUUGGUAGAUGAAAUUUUACUAUGAAGACGGAUUUGAGGAUAAUUUUAUUGAGAUUAAUAAAAUGAUUUUAGCU
rnacentral:rRNA from 1 species